rnacentral:misc_RNA from 1 species
UUGGUUUGUUACAGGUGGUUGGCCCUUUGCUUGUGCAACAACUUCCACCCGGCAUACCUCUUCAGUUGUGYGUCAAGGCUUGUGUCUUAGCGCAUUGUGGGUUUCUUGUGUUGUCUACCUAAGUGACGGUAUUGUUUGGAUUGAAUAUAGUCCCUUUUCAUCUUGUGUUACACUCGUGGCAUGGGAUGAACCUUUCAAAGCAGUUUCUAUGAUCCACUAUGUUGAUGCGUAUGCGUUGAUGUUGUGGCCCAUUGAGCAUUGCUUGGUCUUGAGGAUAUGGAACCUGAUGCGGACAUGGGGUCUUCUUUGUAUCCUUUUUCUGUCCUUCUUUAGCGUUUACGCAUCUCCAAAAUGACUGCCUGUCAUGUAGUGGCUCAUACCAGCAUGGUGGGUUAUGUCAAAGAGGAAUGCUACCUGGUUGAUCCUGCCAGUAGUCAUAUGCUUGUCUCAA